ACAUGUAUAUUACCUGUUACUUUGUGUUUGCUGGGAUAAGACUCGUGCGACUUGCGAUUAAUGUGCAUGUGGUCAAUCGCUUGCGACUAAUGUAGAACAACCUUUACGCAGCCUCGAAAAGAAGAAAUAAGCAGGGAGAGUUCCGUCUUCUCUCGACGAAGACGUUUUGUUUAUAACAUCACUGGACUCGCGCAUCGUUUAUAUACCCAACGGGGUGUGUCGAUGCGAAGACUUGUCUUUUCUAACUUUUUUCCAUUUUGAAUAUACAGUCCUGUAGAGCGGACUUUCUUUCUAUCUAUACUUCAUUUGUGGAAAAGGAUUUUUUAUUUUGCACAAGCAAUAAAGAGAAUUUUCGAAACUGCAAUUACCAUCGCUAUAGUGAAAAAUAAUAUCUCACUAGCAACUCCAGCUUCCCCUUAACUGUACUCAUAAAAGUGAGUGAAAAUGAAAAGGACAUUGUAGAAACACACUGCGAUUUCCCUACAUUAAGUGAUUGUGAGCCCAUGUCAGAUAAUGUAAAACAAGCAUUUUAUAGAAUGUGUGGAUAUGUGGUUUUCAAGUUGAGAUACUCAAUAAAAUGUGAAGACUGUUAUCUGAAAUUGCAAGACAAUUCUAAUUUUGCAUAUACACCAUCAUCUUUAUCUGCUUUUGUAGCUAUUACAGAUUAUACUCCUGGAGCUCAAAUAAGAGUUAGCAAUGAAGUAUUUGACAUUCUUGAAGGGGCAGAAAGGAUAAUGUGGAAAGCCAAGUCUAAAUUGUUAUUUUCGGGAGUCUUUGCAUAAUGAAUUUGUAUCCUACUUCGACACUGCUUUGAAACAUCUCCCUUUAAGCACUUGUCACAAUGUUAAAGGAAAAUUAAUAUCACGAUUUGUGUCAAUGCGUUUAAAACAACUAGCAAUAACUUUAGGUAAUACAGAGGAUUCAAAGAUGAAUAUGUCAUCGGGUUUUGCAAGUAAAACGAUGGGAGCAGCAAUAUUAGCUCAUAGAUUCAAACCAAAAAAUUAUACACUAAAAUAUUAAAUUAGAGAUUAUUAUGGAUGGUUAUUUCAUAUGACUGGAUUAUCCUAAUAUUUUUGUGAUAUGUCUAUCAAUGUUAUCAUGUGCAUAUUUUUGUACAUUAAAAACUGUUGCGAAUUUAUUUUCGUUGUGUUUUUGUAAACUGUUGCGAAUUAUUAAUUUAUAAAUAAAAUUUUGAAAAUAUUUUUCAUGAUUAAUGUUCCCAACUAUUCUUUUAACUUCCUUAUAACUAUAAAAUAAAACAAUUCAUUUUAUUCUCCAAAAUUAUAUUAUUAUUAUAAUAUAUUCUACUUACAAACUUAUACUUAUUACUUCUAUUAAAUGACGUAAGUAACACGCUUUCAUAUAUUAAAUAAACUAUACAAGAUUAUUAUACAGAUACAAGAUUAUACGAUACCGAUACAAGACUACUAGUAUUAGUACACAAUUGAAAUACUAUUAUAAUUGAUAUU